ACACGUGCGCGGAAGGAGCAAGCAGUAGCGGGCCACAAAUCUGGCAAAAGAGAGCUAGUGGUAAAGAGAGCUGGUGGAGGGGUGGUGUAAGGGGUAGAGGGCCGGGCACGGCCGGCUGACAGAGCGACUCUGCUCGCUCUCCGCACUUCCGCUGUGCUGGGUCCCACAACUCCUCGCUACGCGAGGCUAGGGCGUUUGUUAGACAUAGUCAGUUGUGGGGUUCAGAGGGUCAGCAGUCAGUCCAGAGAUUCAGUACUUGUCACUUUCGGUACUCAGGGAGUUGGUAGGUUCGGUGUUUGGGAUGCCAAAGAAAUCCGUCUUUUGAUUCAGAGGUCAUCAUCUAGAGGUUUAGGUAGCAAUCGACAUCAUGCUGAAAGCUGUGAUCCUGAUUGGAGGCCCCCAAAAGGGGACUCGCUUCAGGCCUCUGUCUUUUGAGGUGCCCAAACCCCUGUUUCCUGUGGCGGGGGUCCCUAUGAUUCAGCACCACAUUGAGGCUUGUGCCCAGGUCCCUGGGAUGCAGGAGAUCCUGCUCAUUGGCUUCUACCAACCUGAUGAGCCCCUUACCCGGUUCCUAGAAGCAGCGCAGCAGGAGUUUAACCUUCCAAUCAGGUACCUGCAGGAAUUUGCUCCCCUGGGCACAGGCGGUGGUCUCUACCAUUUCCGGGACCAGAUCCUGGCUGGAAGCCCCGAGGCCUUCUUUGUGCUCAACGCUGAUGUCUGCUCCGACUUCCCCUUGAGCGCCAUGCUGGAUGCCCACAGACACCGGCCUCACCCCUUCUUGCUCCUUGGCACCACGGCUAACAGGACACAAUCCCUCAACUACGGCUGCAUCGUAGAGAAUCCACAAACGCAUGAGGUCCUGCACUAUGUGGAGAAACCCAGCACGUUUGUCAGUGACAUCAUCAACUGUGGCAUCUACCUCUUUUCCCCAGAAGCCCUGAAGCCCCUCGGGGAAGUCUUCCAGCGUAAUCAGCAGGAUGGGCAACUCUGCCUUCCUCUGGGGGAGGACUCUUCAGUCUUGUGGCCAGGGGCAGGGACCAUCCGCCUGGAGCAGGAUGUGUUCGCAGCCCUGGCUGGGCAGGGCCAGAUCUACGUGCACCUCACCGAUGGUAUCUGGAGCCAGAUCAAGUCCGCGGGCUCAGCCCUCUACGCCUCUCGCCUCUAUCUGAGCCAGUACCAGCUCACUCACCCAGAACGCCUGGCCAAGCACACCCCAGGGGGUCCACGGAUUCGAGGAAAUGUUUACAUCCACCCGACAGCUAAGGUGGCCCCAUCGGCUGUGCUGGGCCCCAACGUCUCCAUCGGAGAGGGGGUGACUGUGGGCGAGGGUGUGCGGCUCCGAGAGAGCAUUGUCCUCCAUGGGGCCACGCUGCAGGAGCACACGUGUGUCCUACACAGCAUCGUAGGCUGGGGCAGCACGGUGGGGCGCUGGGCCCGCGUGGAAGGUACCCCCAAUGACCCCAAUCCCAACGACCCCCGAGCCCACAUGGACAGUGAGAGCCUCUUCAAGGAUGGGAAGCUUCUGCCCGCUAUCACCAUCCUAGGCUGCCGCGUCCGGAUCCCUGCUGAGGUGCUCAUCCUGAACUCGAUUGUUCUGCCACACAAGGAGCUGAGCCGCAGCUUCACCAACCAGAUCAUCCUCUGAAGGGGCUGCCAGGAGGCCCCCCCCCGCCUUCCUCUCCUGUCCGCACCCCUUGAGGCUUCUGCCUGCAAGGCCAGCCUCUGUCCAGGAGGGACUGGAGGAAGCCAGGCAGGCUCUUCACAUCGUGGGGAGCAACAUGGGUGGCCGGGGGCCUCCCUCGCCACUCCCUAAUAAACCUGGCCUCCCUCCCUAGUGUCUCCAGCUGCCCCUCGAUCUUGGACCUGGUCCCCUUCAAUAUUAGUGACCCACCGCCUCGGCUUGGGCAUCCCUGAAACGAGACGCAGGGUCGUGAGUACCAGCCACAGGAAAGG